UGGAUUUCUUUGUGAAUCACC
rnacentral:miRNA from 2 species